rnacentral:tRNA from 1 species
AUAUAUGUAGUUUUAAGAAUAUCAAAUUUUCAUUUUGAAGGUUGUAACGGGAGUUGCACUUAUAUU